rnacentral:tRNA from 1 species
CCGGCGGGCAGGUCGAGGGCGACCAGACCCCGCUCGUUCGGCACGAGCAGCCGGGCGCCGGCGACGUCCGGUACGAGGCCGUCGGCCGAGCC